rnacentral:SRP_RNA from 1 species
GCCGGGUGUGGUGGCGCAUGCCUGUAGUCCCAGCUACUCAGGAGGCUGAGGCAGAAGAAUCGCUUGAACCCAGGAGGCGGAGGUUGCAGUGAGCCGAGACUGUGCCAUUGCACUCCAGCCUGGGUGACAGAGUGAGACUCCGUCUCAA